GCGGACGGGUGAGUAACACGUGGGUAACCUACCUAUAAGACUGGAAUAACUCCGGGAAACCGGGGCUAAUGCCGGAUAACAUAUCGAACCGCAUGGUUCGAUAGUGAAAGACGGUCUUGCUGUCACUUAUAGAUGGACCCGCGCCGUAUUAGCUAGUUGGUGAGGUAACGGCUCACCAAGGCAACGAUACGUAGCCGACCUGAGAGGGUGAUCGGCCACACUGGAACUGAGACACGGUCCAGACUCCUACGGGAGGCAGCAGUAGGGAAUCUUCCGCAAUGGGCGAAAGCCUGACGGAGCAACGCCGCGUGAGUGAUGAAGGUCUUCGGAUCGUAAAGCUCUGUUGUUAGGGAAGAACAAAUGUGUAAGUAACUGUGCACAUCUUGACGGUACCUAACCAGAAAGCCACGGCUAACUACGUGCCAGCAGCCGCGGUAAUACGUAGGUGGCAAGCGUUAUCCGGAAUUAUUGGGCGUAAAGCGCGCGUAGGCGGUUUUUUAAGUCUGAUGUGAAAGCCCACGGCUCAACCGUGGAGGGUCAUUGGAAACUGGAAAACUUGAGUGCAGAAGAGGAAAGUGGAAUUCCAUGUGUAGCGGUGAAAUGCGCAGAGAUAUGGAGGAACACCAGUGGCGAAGGCGGCUUUCUGGUCUGUAACUGACGCUGAUGUGCGAAAGCGUGGGGAUCAAACAGGAUUAGAUACCCUGGUAGUCCACGCCGUAAACGAUGAGUGCUAAGUGUUAGGGGGUUUCCGCCCCUUAGUGCUGCAGCUAACGCAUUAAGCACUCCGCCUGGGGAGUACGGUCGCAAGACUGAAACUCAAAGGAAUUGACGGGGACCCGCACAAGCGGUGGAGCAUGUGGUUUAAUUCGAAGCAACGCGAAGAACCUUACCAAAUCUUGACAUCUUUUGACCGCUCUAGAGAUAGAGUUUUCCUCUUCGGAGGACAAAAUGACAGGUGGUGCAUGGUUGUCGUC
rnacentral:rRNA from 1 species